rnacentral:rRNA from 1 species
GUAGGGAAUAUUGGGCAAUGGAUGCAAGUCUGACCCAGCCAUCCCGCGUGCCGGAAGAAGGCCCUCAGGGUUGUAAACGGCUUUUGACGGUGAAGAAUCGACAGGAUGCGUCCUGUUUUGACGGUAGCCGUUGAAUAAGCACCGGCUAACUCCGUGCCAGCAGCCGCGGUAAUACGGAGGGUGCGAGCGUUGUCCGGAUUUAUUGGGUUUAAAGGGUGCGUAGGCUGGAAGGUCAGUCAGCGGUGAAAAGCUGUCGCUUAACGAUAGUCUUGCCGCAGAUACUUCCUUUCUUGGAUGAGGAGGAGGCCACUGGAACGGAUGGUGUAGCGGUGAAAUGCAUAGAUAUCAUCCAGAACACCGAUUGCGAAGGCAGGUGGCUGUACCUUAAUCGACGCUGAUGCACGAAAGCAUGGGGAGCAAACAGGAUUAGAAACCCUAGUAGUCC